GCCCAGACUCCUACGGGAGGCAGCAGUGGGGAAUAUUGCACAAUGGGGGGAACCCUGAUGCAGCGACGCCGCGUGGGUGAAGGAGCACCUCGGUGCGUAAAGCCCUAUCGGCAGGGAAGAAAAGCGAACAGGUUCGCCUGGACGGUACCUGACUAAGAAGCCCCGGCUAACUACGUGCCAGCAGCCGCGGUAAUACGGAGGAUGCGAGCGUUAUCCGGAUUUAUUGGGUUUAAAGGGUGCGUAGGCGGUUGGGAAGGCAAGGGGUAAAGGCGCGGGGCAAAACCCCGGCGAGCCGUUGAAACUGUCGGACUAGAGACGGCGAGAAGUACGCGGAAUGCGCGGUGUAGCGGUGAAAUGCAUAGAUAUCGCGCAGAACUCCGAUUGCGAAGGCAGCGUACCGGCGCCGGACUGACGCUGAGGCACGAAAGCGUGGGUAUCGAACAGGAUUAGAUACCCUAGUAC
rnacentral:rRNA from 1 species